UAUGACAUUCGUGGUACAUUAUAUAAGGGUUGAAGACCCUGUUUUUCCAAUUAGUCACACAUUCACUUUCUUGUCUCUUAUUCUAAAUUAACAAUCUCAUUUAUCAAGUUAAACUCUUUAACAUUAUUCCCUACGUACUAUAGCGUAUUUUUUAUACUGUGUCUUCAUAGACUUAAUACUUAUCAAAUAUAAAUCUACAAUCGAGAAUUCAUCAUCAUCAGUGAAUAUCAGGAGCACAUAUUUCCAACGCAUGCUUCACUGGACCAUGAAAGAUUUCCCUACUGCUAGCACGAGCUGCUCUAGUUUUUAUUGUGGAGCUGUUUAGUCGCGAGAUCACCGGAUACUGUCUAUCAAGAGGAAGAGACUACAAUAUCUUGGUCGCAAAAAAUGUCACCAAUAACAAUAUUAUGCAGAAUCCAUCUUAUAAUAACAAUGCCAUAAUAACAGGAUGAGUUUGAUAACGUUGCAAACAAUCACAUUAAUUAAUUAGUGAAAAUUAGACAAC